rnacentral:rRNA from 1 species
GUGAGGAUAUUGUCAAUGGCCUAACGGCUGAACUGGCAACUUGGACGAACGUACUAGUGUUUAAAAGUUCCGAGGUAGCAUAAUUUUGUUACGAAUAGGAAUCCCUAGGUAAUCUUUUUUAGGAAUAAAGUUCUUAGUAUAUAUUAGAUAAUGACAGAUAUAUAUCUUAUGCCCUGACCAAUUACGUGCCAGCAGUCGCGGUAAUACGUAUGGGACUAGUGUUAUUCAUCUUAAUUAGGUUUAAAGGGUACCUAGACGGCUAAUGUCCACCUUCAAUUUAGGUAACUAAUUAGCUAGAGUUUUAUAGAAAGGGGCCGAACCUGUGGAGGAGAGUUUAAAUUCUUUGAUACCGUGGGGACGGACAACGGCGAAGGCAGCCUCUUAUGUAGAAACUGACGUCGAAGGACGAAGGCAUUGCGUAACGAAAAGGAUUUGAGACCCUAGUAGUCUUUGCAGAAAAUGAUGCAUGCCAUAGAUUAGGCUAAUACCUUGGUUUAUAAACGAAAGUGCAAGCAUGUCACCUCAAGAGUAAUGCGGCAACGCAGAAACUGAAAUCACUAGACCGUUUCUGACACCAGUAGUGAAGUAUGUUGUUUAAUUCGAUAACCCACGAAAAAUCUUACCACAAUUUGAAUAGAAUAAACUUAUCUUAGUAAGUUUAUUCAUACAAGCGUUGCACGGCUGUUUCCAGUUAAUGUUGUGAAACUGUGGCAAAAGCCAUGGAAUUAACGUAAACCUGAGCUUUAUUUGUAAAAAUAUUAUGAUAGAGCUAAAUCAUCUUCUAUAUUGGAUUUGAUAACAGGGACUAAGACAAGUCAUCAUGGCCUUAAUAUUGUGGGCUAU